GGAAGACAUCUUUCCGAAGUCAAAGUCGCAAGACGCUUCCUGAUGAGCUCGCGGCCUAUCAGCUAGUUGGUGAGGUAACGGCUCACCAAGGCAAUGACGGGUAGCUGGUCUGAGAGGACGACCAGCCACACUGGAACUGAGACACGGUCCAGACACCUACGGGUGGCAGCAGUCGAGAAUUUUUCACAAUGGGGGAAACCCUGAUGGAGCGACGCCGCGUGGAGGAUGAAGGUCUUCGGAUUGUAAACUCCUGUCAUGCGAGAACAAGAAAGUGAUAGUAUCGCAAGAGGAAGAGACGGCUAACUCUGUGCCAGCAGCCGCGGUAAUACAGAGGUCUCAAGCGUUGUUCGGAUUCAUUGGGCGUAAAGGGUGCGUAGGUGGCGUGGAAAGUUGAGUGUGAAAUCCUAGGGCUUAACCUUAGAACUGCACUCAAUACUCCCAUGCUAGAGGAAUGUAGAGGAGAGUGGAAUUCACGGUGUAGCAGUGAAAUGCGUAGAUAUCGUGAGGAAGACCAGUUGCGAA
rnacentral:rRNA from 1 species